GCGUUUUUCAUCUUUAUUAGGUUUAAAGGGUACCUAGACGGUUUGUCUAUCCUUUAUAUAGGAAACGGAUUAAACUAGAGUUUGAUAUGGGAGGUAGAUUUAGUAUUGAAAGAGAAGAGAUAAAAUUUUUUUAUACUUUCGAGACUGAUAAUGGUGAAAACAAUCCUCUAUGUAAUAACUGACGUUAAGGGACGAAGGCAUGGUUAUCGAAUAGGAUUAGAUACCCUAAUAGUCCAUGCAGAAAAUGAUGAAUGUCAUAAAUAUUUAAUCUAAUUUCACGCAUAUAGCCAUCAAAUUAGAUUAAAAUUUAUAAAUGAAAGUGUAAACAUUCCACCUCAAGAGUACUACGGCAACGUAUAAACUGAAAUCAUUAGACCGUUUCUGAAACCAGUAGUGAAGUAUGUUAUUUAAUUCGAUAACCCUCGAAAAACCUUACCUCAAUUUGAAUUAUAAAUAUAAUUAUAUUAUAACAAGCGUUGCACGGCUGUCUUCAGUUAAUGUCGUGAGAUCUGGUUAACCC
rnacentral:rRNA from 2 species